rnacentral:lncRNA from 1 species
CUAUAACAGUCAAGGGACCUGUGAGAGUCUCUUGGCCAACAGCAAAUGAGAGGUGUGAGCAUCUCAGGAGUCACUUAUGGGACAGAAGCCCGUCAACAAAACGGGACAAGAGGAUCUGCACCCGGCAGGGAGCUCGCAGACGGGACAUGGAACCAAGAGCUGACAGUCGCCUGGAAACUCAACCAUCUCCCGGGGCCGGGGGGUCGGGAAGGGGCGGGUGUCUCUGCGCCUUAGAACACAGACCUGGGGAAAGAGCACUGGCCUUGGAGUCAGACAGACCUGGCCUUGCUCAGCUCCCACUGUGUCACCGGGAGCAACCUACUUCAUGUGUGUCCAAGAUCAGGGAGAAUGUAGAUUGCAUGACACAGAGUCUAAAACAAGACUUAGCUGUUUUUUCUGUCUCAGCCACCUGCCUUUCUGGCACUGUACUUAUCUCAGCUUGUAAUUAUUUUGUGUUUUGACUUCAUUAUUAUUAUUGUUUUUGCUGUUGUUGAUGUCUCUCACCAGACUAUAACAGCUAUGAGAGCACAGACCAUAGGUGUCUUGCUCACAUGUGUCCCCAGGACAUAGCACGUAGUAGGUGCUCAAUAAGAGUAUUUCCAAUUAACAUUUUUAUGUGAUAAAAAUUAGUUUCUUGCCUGACCCCAAUGGUAAGUCACGCAUUCCUGAGCUAGCAAGCAAAGCUGAGUGGUUUUCCUGGGAUAUUCAUUGCUGCAUUUACACCCAAAACUACUGAAGAAGGAACUUGUGGAAACGAGUGAAUUCAGGCCACCCCUGGAAACAUUCUGAUGUUUAUCUAAGGAGCCACUUUGGAAUGAAGCCAUCAAGCAGCUCCCCGCCCCCCCCCCCCCCACCACAGUCACAGAGCAGAGACACCCCCUCCCCCCACCUCUCAGGAGCAAGAGCAGGGCCCUCUGGUCCUGGGGGCAGGCUACCGGGGACCACAGAGCUUCCAGUAAUUGCAGUGCUGUUUCUUCAAGAGGAGAGGGAAAAGCAUUUCAGCAAUAAGCAAAGGAGAGGGAAAAUCAAUAAGGAUGUGUAUAAUGAAUUUUUGUUUCCUGAAAUAGCCUGGCAGGAGCCUUGCCAGGAAGAGUUAGGGCUAAUCAGUGACAAGAUGAGAGAGACAAACCCAAGAACAUUGCUCAGCUCUGCAGGCGCCCUGGUGGAAGAAGUCAGCGUGAGGAAUUACAGACAGGCCAGCCUGUCGUCCAGAAAGACAAUCUCUGAGAGAACCCAGACAGAGCUCUUGAAUCCUGCAGAGUGUAUGAAGUCAAAAUAGUACCAGGAGGAAGUGUUGCUACGUGUUCACAGAAGCAGACCCCUCAAGGCAAAGUGUUAAACACUCCUCCCUUUGGAGAAGACAAAGCACUUUUAUAAACAGCCCCACAAUACCAGUUGUUACUUUGGCAGUCCUUACUCACGACGGGAUCCACUAUUAAAAGUUUAAAAUAGCUCCUGGGCCCAAAGCCUGCCAUAGGAUCCUGAGGCAUAAAAGAAAUGCUGUGAGUAGUGAGAUGAUUUAAGGACUCCUUCCAGGAAGCAACAUGCCAGUCAUCGCUGUUCCCUAGCCUGCAGGCCGGGGGCUGUCGGCCAAGGCUCCGCGUCACCACCGUGUUUCCUGCAGGGCCGCGCGGCUGGCCGUGUCCUGGCGCCUCGGCUCGCUGGGAGGCUGCCGAGAAGAGGAGGAUGGCGUGUCCCGGCGCGGCACACCCGGGGCCUGCACGGAGCCCGGCAUCCAUACGUGUCCAGGAGCGGAUGAAUUUAUCACUUCCUGAGGGGGCCUCUCUGGUUAUUAACAGAUCCCGUUUUUGCAGAGUGUUAAGUUGAGAAACUGAAUUUUUGUCGAAAAGGAAUCAGAGUAACGUGCCUGUCCCAGGGCUGAUGCUGACAGCGUUUUGCCCCACACCACAGGCUGCACAAGCCCGCCAGGCCCUGGGGGAGAUUCCGCUGAGACUCCGGGAUUCUCCCAGCCCAGGCCAAGGAGGCCGGCUCUGUUCCAAACUUGGAAUAGGGCACCAAGUGAACUGCCCCCAGAAGUUUCUGAGGACUGCACUCAGCGGCAGUUACCUUUCAGAACCAUCACCGGAGCUGUUCUCCCAGUUGGGUCUCUUCUAAGAAGGGACCGUAAGAACCCAACGUUCAUCGUGUUCUGGCUUCCUGAAGUCUGUCACGAUGCAGGCAGAACACGGGGAUCCCCACACUGUGUUCAGUAGCCUUUCCCCCACUCUGUGGACCC